rnacentral:misc_RNA from 1 species
CUCUGAGCAACGCGCAUCCCGAACACGCCGAGUGGUACAAUUCGCUUGCAGAUCUUUACCAGAGGAAGCUAUGGCACCAACUCACUCUCAAGCUCGAGCAGUUCGUUGCUUUUGCUGUUGUUCAGGCUGGUGACACAUUGAUACAGCUGUAUCAUAAUUUUAUCUCUGAUUUUGAGACCAAAAUUAAUCUUCUCAAGCUUGCGCAUUUUGCUGUUAUAGUUUCUAAGCAGUAUAAAGAGAAAGAUGCUGCCAUUAGCUAUCUAGAAGGGGUGAUUGAAAAACUUCGAGCAACUAGAGAACAACGCAAUGAAGAGCCAAUUCUUUAUAUUAAGAUGCAAUUAGCUAUCUUCAAGCUUGAGCAAGGGGAUCAAAAAGAGUGCAAGAAGCUUCUAGAAGAUGGAAAGAGCACACUGGACAGUAUGACUGAUAUUGAUCCAUCUGUGUAUGCCAAUUAUUAUUGGGUUUCAUCUCAGUACCAUAAAUUUCGUCAAGAAUUUGCGGAGUUCUACAAAAGUGCCCUUCUUUAUCUGGCAUACACAUCAGUGGAAGCCCUCUCGGAGCCAUUUAAAUUGGAUUUGGCCUUUGAUCUCUCACUUUCUGCACUUUUGGGAGAUAACAUCUACAACUUUGGAGAACUGCUUGCUCAUCCUAUUAUAAAUAGUCUUCUGGGAACACAAGUGGA